rnacentral:tmRNA from 1 species
GGGGAUGCAACGGCUUCGACGGGGGUGAUGAUACUCCGUAAGCGGGUAGUGUGGCAACACUUUAAACUACCGAAUUUUUUAAAUAUAAACGCUAACAAUAGAGUAGCACAAGCUGCCUAACGUGCAGCCGUCUUAACCGCAGGGACCGCGGGGCGGGUUAAGGCGAAUACCAAGCGGUGAACGUGAACGGGAGAGGGCUCCGGCCCCGUCACGGCAAGGAGCUGCCUUGGGAUAUGCAUUGACUGUGGGGCAUACCCUUCGGGAGAUUCAGUCAUAGUCUACACCCGUAGAAAUCGGUGAGAAUUUGCUUUCGGACACGGGUUCGACUCCCGUCAUCUCCACCA